rfam:Oryza glumipatula chromosome 1, whole genome shotgun sequence.
UAGUUUUACCCUAAAUCAAAGUUCUCUAAAUUUGACCAAGUUUAUAGAAAAAUAAUUAACGUCUACAAUACCAAAUAAAUAGACUAUCAAGAAAUAUUUCAUGGCGGAUUUUGUUGAAACCAAUUUGAUGUUGUAGAUGUUGGUGCAUUUUUCUAUUAACUUGGUCAAAAUAGAAAAGUUUGACUUGGACAAAACUCAA